UUAAAAAUAGUGUAUGUUAAAAUAAAGUUCCUCAAUUAAUCAAAAUAUUAUUGUAUCUAACAUAAAAUUCUAAGCGAUUUCAUAUUUUGCUAAUUAUGUUUACGCGAAUAAAAUAUGUUGUAACAUUUAACUUCUCAAUUUAAUAAAAUCUUACUAAAACAUUUUCUUGAUCAAAACGUAGAUAGGAACGCAUUCAGUUAUUCACCCUGUUUUACAACUAAGCUUUAAGCUCAGCCAAUCAGAGAGCAAGAAAGUCCAUUGCCGCGUGGGUGUAGAAAAUGGAAAAUGCAAAGCUCUCAAAAGCUUCAGUGUACAUCGAAAGCUGCGCCAACUUCACUUCGGUCUAGGGGGUGGAAAGUUCUCGAAAGAGCUUAGUGCAUGCAAGUAUGCCCUAUAGAUUUAUAUAUGCAGGGUAGCGAAGGGAGGGUCGUAAAUCAAUCGCCGGACUCGGCCUUUCCGUCGGUGGCAGCCGAGCAGAGCAGACGACUUCACCUUCACUCCGAGGCCAGAGCACCGUUCCAGCGACUGAGUUCCAGUUCAACGCAAUGGCGGACGGCGCGGAGGUGGGAGAGGAUGACGACGAGAGCGACGAAGCCAUUAAUAAGAAAAUGGCGAACGACCUGGACACGCACCGGCCGUCUGAAGCACCGAGGGUGUAUCAUUACACCUUCGAGGAGCUUACGAAGGUUGCUACGGAUCUCUUGGGUCAACCAAGCAUGAACCGUAGCACCGACGUGCAUCACGUUGUCGUGCUGAAGCCGAAGUUGGGUCCGUCCAACGUCGCUUUGCACGUCAAACAGUAGGUACACGUACGACUCCCCGAUCGAGAAAGAUCAUUAUAUCUUAAAUCAAAGUCAUUUUAUUAUCUCUCCAUUUUUAACAAGUUCGUGUAGAUCUUAGCAUUCAUGUAAUCGUAGUAGGUUUAAUCGUAAAAAGUUUUGUCACAUUACUAUGGCUUAUCGAAACUAAAUAUAAGUAAGUAGAAACCUCCUAUAGAUUAAAGAAUUAGGCUUUAUAUUCCAUACUAUUAAUUACAAUUAAGAGCAUAAUGUUGCACAUGAAGUUUUUACUUGUACUAAGUAAAGGUUUUUUAUUUUUAUUUUACGAGUAUCAUAUGUGUAUUGUUAAGGAUAUUUAAUCGCAUUUAAUGGAACUUAUGACAUUGAGUAUCAUAUGUGUAUUUUUAAGGAUAUUUAAUCGCAUUUAAUGGAACUUAUGACAUUGAGUAUCAUAUGUGUAUAGGUAUAAGGAUAUUUAAUCGCAUUUAUUGGACUAACAUAUAAAAAUGAGUAUCAUAUGUGUAUAGAACGUAUGGGAAAGUAACCGCACGUCGACCUUCGGAUUCACGAAAAUUACACAUGAAACAAGAGACGUUAGGUUUGAAUAGGAAUAGUGCACUUAAAAAACGGCAUGUAGGUAUUCGCACUAGUUUUAAGGUGUACCAACUUAUUUUAAAAUAUGUUUCGUGAUGUAUAUUCUGCCAACAACUGAACAUGUAAUCAUUUGGCGAAUGUUUAAUAACAUUGCCACUGUAAUCGCCAUAUUUAUUCAAUAUUUAAUCGAAAGCAUUUUAAUCUCUUUGUAACGUAGAAAGUAGAAGUAGAAAUAAAAAAAAACAAAAAAAAAACUAUGUUUUAUUUAAAACUGCCUUACUUAAUUGCUAUGAAAGUGUAAAAAGCGAUUGUUUAACUCAAACCUUGGGUUCAACUCCUAAGAGAAGCUAGAUGUGGAAAUUAAUACUUACUUACUAACCUAAGAAAAAGGAAAUAUUUUUAGUAAACCCUUUGCAAACUGUACUGGCCUUAUAGGUAUACAAAUAUACACAGCAUUAAGAUAUCAGUCACACUGCUGAACAUAUGUAUGCCUCCCUCAAUAUAUGAACUAUAUACAUAUACACCCUCAAAACAUAUGCAAUCUAAGCUCGCCCAUCCUUUUGUUUGUCAUCAUGACAAUUAAGUACUGAACUAUAAACUAGUUUCUUUCAUGUAGUGGGGCUUCCACUACAUGAAAGAAAUUUGUCAUAGUCUCCACAUUUAGCAGCCAGUUGGAGAUCGCACUUAAAGAGUUCAGGCUUUUUAUGAUCAAAGACACAACAUGUUUCAAACCGCUGCAACUCUUCCCUUAGACCACCAAUCCCAAGGGAGAGGGUUGAAACUUAACCCAAGAGAAGAUUUGUAGUUUAUCUGCAAUUUAAUUCAUAAAACAUGUAUUUCUUCUCUUUUAAUAUAAUAAAAUGACAUAUAAGAGAGGAAUAUUGUUGCGCUAACAAUAGCCGCUAUAUUUUCUAGUUUCUAUCGAAUCCACUGCGAAAGACUUAUUUUUGGAAUUGGUACACAGUCUCACUAGAUAUGGGUUAAGAUCCCAAAGCCACCAAACCUUACCUAUUUUUAGGCCAAUAUAUAUAAAAGUGUGUACAGUUAACAUAAUAUACACAACCGCUAGCUUUGACUCAAGUACCAGGUGCACAGGGAAAUAAAAAUUGUACACCGCGUCAACUGUGCAACACACUGAACAGUUGACGUGGUGGCUGGGCGCCCGGCUGCCGUGCAAUGUAUAGCGGGUUCGAUUCCCGCACGGAGCAACUCUUUGUGCGAUCUAUAAAUAGUUGUUUCGGGUCUAGGUUUCAUGUGAAUGUGAAAUUGUAUGUUCGUAAACGCACCUACGACACAGAAAACAAUCAUUGUGUGAGGCAACGUUUAAAAAAAAAGUAUGAUGGUUUUGAAUGUUACACAAGUUUGAUAGUCAUAUAUUUUAAAUAAAUACCGUAUAAUAACUGUACGGUUUUCGGAAGUAUUUUCUAAAUUUCUUCCUUUCAUUUUCUUUUAUUUUAAAACGUUGCCCCAAACUAAAAAAAAAAACAAUUGCUAUUAAAACAUUUUUAGUUUUAUCCUGCAUCGUGUUUUAAACAGCAUUUACAUCCAUAGGCCCUGCGUCGACCAAUCAGAUAAAUUGUUAGUAUCGCAAGGUGGUUUAAGCGUUUUGUAUGGACCAAUGAAAUGCGUCGUUAAUUAGUUUUGAAUAUUGGUAACUUGAACCUCAUGGUACGAUAAAACUGUAAGUAUCAUCCUAAAUUUAUUGUUAGCUUAAAUAUGUUUGUUAAACGUUCAUAACAUAGGUUCUUUGUAUUCUAGUAUUCUAUAAACAUCUGAGGUAAAUAAUUAUAGUAAAUAAGAAAAAAUCAUAAAAUGUCUUGCGUGCACCGACCAAUCAGAAUGAGUCAACAUGACAAUGUUGGUACACCAUCUGAAUCUUAGCCAGCUCUCUUAGCUUGCUCUGAAUCUAAUUACUGAACCAUAACUUUCCUGGAACAAAGCCAAAAUCAUAAACAAAAUGCAUUAUUUAUAGAGGUUUUUUUAAAAAUCAAGUCACAUUAAGAUUUCUUUUCUACCGUAUGUUUAGUUUUCUACCGUAUGUUUUGUAAUUUUUCUAGAGCCACCCCUAGCCAAUCAGAAGGUUGUUGAACCCGUUUGCACGGACCAAUCAAAUGCGUCGUAAAUCUGUUUUGAAUGUUGGUAAACUGAACCUCGUGGUAAAGCGCAACUUAAAACAUUGUCUUAAUUUAUUUGCUAGCUGGCAUUUUUUGCCUAAAUGUUCUUAAAUUACGCUUUUUGUUUACUAAUACACUAUAAACACACGAGGAAGGAGUAUUAAUGGAUAAAAACAUCAAAAGUUAAGUUUUACGGUUUAUGCGUGUAUUGGCCAAUCAGAACAAGUUGAUUUAUUGUUAUGUUGGCAUACCAUACUAAAGCAAGCCAAUGGUGUGCUCUGAAACUAAUGACAAAACCGUAAAUUCCUGAGAACAAAGCUAAACUCGAAAUCAAAAUGCAAUGUUUUUAGACCUAUUUCUGUAAAUCAAAAGUUAUUAAAACACGUUAAAUGAGAUCCUGUACCCUAAUUUUAAUACUAAAUGCAUUUAAACAGCGUUAAACUUCAUUCAUAAUUCUCAGCCAUGUUCGAAUCGGCAAAUCAAUAUAUCGCCCUUGCAAAAAAGGGGUGAAAGUCCGAUUUGUCAAUAACGAUUACAAAGUGUGCAAUAAAUUAUGUUGUUUAAAAAAAAUAAGAUUAAGGAAAAAGAUGUAGAUUCUUAUUUUAAGUUAAUAUAAAUUACCUAUAUGUGCAUUUAAGUGGUAUAAUUUAACACAAAUACUUAAUGUAGACAUAAAAAAAAACAAGUGAGUACUGUAAUAAGAAUACUAGACACAAACUUAUUUAUACAAAGCUCGUAUUAGAUCAAAAACAUUGUUCACAUAAACAUAAUAUGCAAUAAUGAAUUACCAUGUUAUUUGAUUCAACAAUACCUGUACACUACGCAUAGCUUUUUUAAGGAAAAUAUAUUAUGAGUUGAUUGAAAAAGCAAUAAAUUGAUGUUUAUCAUCCCCGACAUAGGUACCCAAUAAAAAGAACAUUGUUAUAGAAAUGUUUGUACUCUUCAUUAUUUCUUUUUGGUUUUAAGAGGUAUUUGAAAGAGCCAAAGAAGGUUGUUGAGCCUCGAUGGAAGUCUUGAUCUAAUAAAAACCUGAAAUUCUUUACUUAA